ACGCCUACAGUGCGCUCCCCCUCACUCCUUUUCCUCGGAGUGCCCGGCCCCGGCCCCCUUCUGCCCCUUUCCCCGGCAGGGUGAUACUUUGUCAAGCCGUAAUCCAACCCUGCUAAACCCGCGGGUAGAGCUGAAGCGCUGCGAUGAAUCUCAGCAGACUCAUUCCUCUCCUCGAGAGCUUGCUGCCCUUAGAAAUGACUUCAGCGCACUUUUGCAAGUGUAAAGGGAAAUCAAGAUCCCCUCUUCAUGUCUCUUGAUCUUCACCAGACUAGAAGAACCUGUAGUUCUUAGAGCUGCAGUGGAAAGUGACCUGUUGUGUUUGUGGAAGCUCUGGAAUCCUGCAGGAGAAGGAUCACUCAGCACCGUGGCAAUCUGCCAAGUACAACUUGUUCUGAAACACAGUGGCUCUGAGAAGUUGCAUUAUCAACUGAAACACAAUGUCAGCUUAGCAGGAGGUUGCUGGCUGACCCUUCUACACAGAGGUGGGGGUGGGGAACAACAUCAGUCUAGACAGAAGAGGACAACAACUAGCUGUCCACUCAGGCUGCAGAUUAGAAGGUGUGCUUCCACAGCUGCUGUAAGCUGA
rnacentral:lncRNA from 1 species